rnacentral:rRNA from 1 species
UGGGGAAUAUUGCACAAUGGGCGAAAGCCUGAUGCAGCGACGCCGCGUGAGGGAUGACGGCCUUCGGGUUGUAAACCUCUUUCAGCAGGGACGAAGCGCAAGUGACGGUACCUGCAGAAGAAGCACCGGCUAACUACGUGCCAGCAGCCGCGGUAAUACGUAGGGUGCAAGCGUUGUCCGGAAUUACUGGGCGUAAAGAGUUCGUAGGCGGUUUGUCGCGUCGUUUGUGAAAACCAGCAGCUCAACUGCUGGCUUGCAGGCGAUACGGGCAGACUUGAGUACUGGAGGGGAGACUGGAAGUCCUGGUGUAGCGGUGAAAUGCGCAGAUAUCAGGAGGAACACCGGUGGCGAAGGCGGGUCUCUGGGCAGUAACUGACGCUGAGGAACGAAAGCGUGGGUAGCGAACAGG